rnacentral:rRNA from 1 species
UACGUAGGGUGCGAGCGUUGUCCGGAAUUAUUGGGCGUAAAGGGCUCGUAGGCGGUUUGUCACGUCGGGAGUGAAAACUCGGGGCUUAACCCCGAGCCUGCUUCCGAUACGGGCUGACUAGAGUGCGGUAGGGGAGAUCGGAAUUCCUGGUGUAGCGGUGAAAUGCGCAGAUAUCAGGAGGAACACCGGUGGCGAAGGCGGAUCUCUGGGCCGUAACUGACGCUGAGGAGCGAAAGCAUGGGGAGCGAACAGG